rnacentral:misc_RNA from 1 species
GUAGGUGAACCUGCGGAAGGAUCAUUCAUAAUAAGUGUUUUAUGGCACUUUUUUAAAUCCAUAUCCACCUUGUGUGCAAUGACAGGGUUGAUUUUUCUCUCGAGAGGAUCAGCCCCAAACAUCAACUAUAUCUCAACUCUUUGUCUGAAAAAUAUUAUGAAUAAAACAAUUCAAAAUACAACUUUCAACAACGGAUCUCUUGGCUCUC